GGUCAAGUUAUUAAGGGUGCAGGGCGGAUGCCUUGGCACUAGGAGCCGAUGAAGGACGUGAUAAGCUGCGAUAAGCUUCGGGGAGUUGCACGUAAACUUUGAUCCGAAGAUUUCCGAAUGAGGAAACUCACUUAGAGUAAUGUCUAAGUAUCAUUAAGUGAAUACAUAGCUUAAUGAGGGGAACUCAGGGAACUGAAACAUCUAAGUACCUGAAGGAAGAGAAAGAAAUUCGAUUCCGUAAGUAGCGGCGAG
rnacentral:rRNA from 1 species